rnacentral:rRNA from 1 species
AUUGAACGCUGGCGGCAGGCCUAACACAUGCAAGUCGAACGAGUGGCGGACGGGUGAGUAAUGUCUGGGAAACUGCCCGAUGGUGGGGGAUAACUACUGGAAACGGUAGCUAAUACCGCAUACCAUCGGAUGUGCCCAGCUGGGAUUAGCUAGUAGGUGGGGUAACGGCUCACCUAGGCGACGAUCCCUAGCUGGUCUGAGAGGUUGACCGGCAAAACUGGAACGGAGACACGGUCCAGCCUCCUACGGGAGGCAGCAGUGGGGAAUAUUGCACAUUGGGCGCAAGCCUGAUGCAGCAAUGCCGCGUGUAUGAAGAGGGCCUUCGGGUUGUAAAGUACUUUCAGCGAGGAGGCGUUACUCGCAGAAGAAGCACCGGCGAACUCCGUGCCAGCAGCCGCGGUAAUUC